rnacentral:tRNA from 1 species
GGGCACAUGGUCUAGGGGUAUGAUUUUCGCUUCGCAUGUGAAAGGUCCGGGGUUCAAAUCCCCGUGUGUCCA